UGGGGAAUUUUGGACAAUGGGGGAAACCCUGAUCCAGCCAUCCCGCGUGUGCGAUGAAGGCCUUCGGGUUGUAAAGCACUUUUGGCAGGAAAGAAACGUCAUGGGUUAAUACCCCGUGAAACUGACGGUACCUGCAGAAUAAGCACCGGCUAACUACGUGCCAGCAGCCGCGGUAAUACGUAGGGUGCAAGCGUUAAUCGGAAUUACUGGGCGUAAAGCGUGCGCAGGCGGUUCGGAAAGAAAGAUGUGAAAUCCCAGAGCUCAACUUUGGAACUGCAUUUUUAACUACCGGGCUAGAGGGUGUCAGAGGGAGGUGGAAUUCCUCGUGUAGCAGUGAAAUGCGUAGAUAUGCGGAGGAACACCGAUGGCGAAGGCAGCCUCCUGGGAUAACACUGACGCUCAUGCACGAAAGCGUGGGGAGCAAACAGG
rnacentral:rRNA from 1 species